rnacentral:rRNA from 1 species
UGCAAGUCGCACGAGAAAGGGGCUUCGGCUCUGAGUAAAGUGGCGCACGGGUGAGUAACACGUGACUAAUCUACCCUCGAGUGGGGAAUAACUGAGAGAAAUCUUAGCUAAUACCGCAUAACACUUACGAGUCAAAGCAGCAAUGCGCUUGGGGAGGAGGUCGCGGCCGAUUAGCUAGUUGGCGGGGUAAUGGCCCACCAAGGCGAUGAUCGGUAUCCGGCCUGAGAGGGCGCACGGACACACUGGAACUGAAACACGGUCCAGACUCCUACGGGAGGCAGCAGUGGGGAAUUUUGCGCAAUGGGGGAAACCCUGACGCAGCAACGCCGCGUGGAGGGUGAAAUAUCUUGGUAUGUAAACUCCUUCCGAUGGGGAAGAUUAUGACGGUACCCAUAGAAGAAGCCCCGGCUAACUUCGUGCCAGCAGCCGCGGUAAUACGAGGGGGGCAAGCGUUGUUCGGAUUUAUUGGGCGUAAAGGGUGCGUAGGCGGUUUGGCAAGUCUUAUGUGAAAUCUAUGGGCUCAACCCAUAGUCUGCAUAAGAAACUGCCGGGCUUGAGUAUGGGAGAGGUGAGUGGAAUUUCCGGUGUAGCGGUGAAAUGCGUAGAUAUCGGAAGGAACACCUGUGGCGAAAGCGGCUCACUGGACCAUAACUGACGCUGAGGCACGAAAG